AUUAUAUAUUUAUUUUUUGUUCAAUAUUCUUUGAAAUAUCAUUUCUGCGAAGUAUUAAGAAGGAAAAUAAAAAUUAUUGUAGUUGUUUUUGCCUUUUUCUUUAGUGCGUCUUUUUGCGUUGUUGACAAUUGAAGAAUUAAAAAUUAAGCUAUAUGCUGAGCAAUCAGUUUGCAUGGCAGAAACUGGUAUUGAUUAAUGAAAAGCAAGUUAUUCAAGGCAAUGUCGAUGUGGAAGAUAAGAAUGUUCAAGUGUACUUUACAAAACAUGAAUGUUUAGUGAAUUAGUAUAUUGAAAAAGUUAAACAUGGUUAAUAUAGAUAAUAAAAUUAUAAAAAACAAAAUGAAAAAAAUUAUGUUAUUCUUGAAAUAGACUGACGAAAACGAAAAUUUUAAGAAAGAGAUCAAAUCAAAGAAAUCGUGGGACUAGUUUUUAAAGAAAAUGAUUUUAAUCAAUCAAUUACAGAAUAUUCACCCAUUUUCAAUGCUAAUGUUUAUUUAAAAGCAACUAAGUUAAUGCAGUGUCUUUCGAAAAUUGAAGUUAAUAAAUAACAAUGGAAGCAAUGCAAUUUCUCUAAACUAUCAAAUAGAAAAGAUUUAUUCAUAAUUAUUACGAUUCAAACGUACUUUUUAUCUUAUUUUAAUCGUAAAAAAAUAUUUAAAGAAUUAAUAUUUAAGAUAUAAUAAUAAUAUGUAAAGAAUAUUAACAAAUUAAUAUACUUAACGUUUACUUAACGUUUAAAUUUAAAUUUUACUAAAUCAUGUUUUUAUAUUUUUAUAUAAAAUUUAAAUAUUAUUUGUAUGAUCUGAUAUGUGGUUAUUAUUUUUAAGUCUUUUUUAUUUUGUAUUCUAUAUGGAAAUAUGUGAUGUUUAUUAAAAUUGUAAUUGGAACAUGUAUAUCCAAGUACUCAUACGAUACAAAAUAAGAUACAAAAUGUAAGAGAAUUAGUAUCAUUUAAUAUCAAAUAUAUAUUAAUUAAGAAGAUAUAUAUUAAUAUUUUUUAAGAAGUAAUGCUCUUAUAUUAUUUUAUCAUAUUUUUUUCUUGAUUCUCUAAUUCAUUUAUAAUUCAUUUGUUAAUUAAAAAAUAAUAUUUUUCUAAAAAGAUAUUAAUAUAUUAAUAAUUCAUAUAUAAAAUAAAUAUCAAGUAAUCGAAAUAAAAAAAAUUAAAAUUGAAUUUAUCAACUUGUACACUUAAUUUAAAUAUUUGUAAAAUUAUUGUAUUUAAUAGAUAUCAAGAAUAGUGUAUAAACCUUAUGCGUCUUACUUAUACAAUUAGACAAUUUUGAAUAAACAAAUAAUGUUUAUUGGA